GCCCCUAAACCCAACAAUUCUGGCGGCCUUCCCCCAACCUAUAAGAGGAGCUCGUAUAGUAAUCGACAGUACCCGCAAGACCCACUUGCCCUAAAGUAACAGCUUGUAUACCGCCGCCUAGAUGUCCCUUAAAAGGGCCCUCGAAAAAAGAAACCAUAGACCCUUCUAAGACAGGCCAUGGCACAGCCCAUGGGCAAGCUCACACGACCUACAAUAAACUAAAUUUAUAAAAAGCAGGCGGCACCUCCUGCUUAAAAGAGGAUUUUAAAGUAAUUCCGGUUCUUUGCACCCCGACAUGACCUCCCCACAAAGGUGCACAUAUCGCCCGUCGCUCGCGGGA
rnacentral:rRNA from 1 species